GGGGAUUUAGCUCAGUGGUAGAGCGCUUGCCUCGCAAGCAUAAGGCCCUGGGUUCGGUCCCCAGCUCCG
rnacentral:tRNA from 1 species